rnacentral:lncRNA from 1 species
UCUUCAUAAAAAAAUGUAAAUUCCAGGUGAAUGUGCAAAAUAUAUGUAAUAAAAGAAAGACUAUGCUAGUUGUCAAAGUAUGAAAAGUUUGAGAUGAUACAAUUAUUAGAUAAAACUUUUUUAAACUACAGAGAAAAUGUUUUUUAUAAUUUGUUAAUAAGUUAACUUAUUUUUAACAUUAUAUUAUGAUAUGUUGAAAAAGAGUAGAUUUAAAAGGUGUACUACAAGUCAUUUUCAUGAGUAUUUUAAAUAAAGUGGAAGGACUAUACUUACAUUUUACUUACUGACUUUGAUGAUAUAAUGUUUGAUAACAGAAAUUUUUAGCACUCUAUGAAUUAUUGAACUAUUUCAUUUCCAGGAUUGAAAUGCUAUUUUUCUUCCCUGGUACAAUGUUAAAGCUUUAAACUCUUGUCAAUGAUGUGAUGUUUCAUCUGCAAUGAUCUACACUAGAAAAAUAAAAAUGUAGCUACUGACAAAAAAGCAGGAACUACUGCUGUAAGGAAAAAAGGAGAGCUACAUGAGGACCACACAACUCCUGGAGGAGGUUUCCCUGGCAACACAACUUUUCCAUUCAUCUGGUUGCAGUAUUUUCAUCCAGUAGCCUGUCACCUCACUCAAAAGCAAGGCAGAUUUAUAAAGGAAGCUGCUGGAGGGAAUUCAUUCCCUUUUCGCUGUUCUGCCUUCCACCUUUCACUGUGUGAGGACACUGCAAGAAAGUCCUCAUCAGACACCAAUUGCCAGCACCUAGAUCUUGGAAUUCUCAGCCUCCAGAACUGUGAGAAAUACAUUUUUAUUUUUCUAUAA